GAUGAACGCUGGCGGCGUGCCUAAUACAUGCAAGUCGAGCGAACGGACGACAAGCUUGCUUCUCUGAUGUUAGCGGCUGACGGGUGAGUAACACGUGGACAACCUACCUAUAAGACUGGGAUAACUUCGGGAAACCGGCGCUAAUACCGGAUAAUAUUUUGAACCGCAUUGUUCAAAAGUGAAAGACGGUCUUGCUGUCACUUAUAGAUGGACCCGCGCUGCAUUAGCUAGUUGGUAAGGUAACGGCUUACCAAGGCGACGAUGCAUAGCCGACCUGAGAGCGUCAUCAGCUACACUGGCACUGAGACACGGUCCAGACUCCUACGGGAGGCAGCAGUAGGGAAUAUUACGGGAUGGACGAAAGCCUGUCGGAGCAACGCCGCGGGAGUGAUGAAGGUCUUCGGAUCGUAAAACUCUGUUAUUAGGGAAGAACAUAUGUGUAAGUAACUGUGCACAUCUUGACGGUACCUAAUCAGAAAGCCACGGCUAACUACGUG
rnacentral:rRNA from 1 species